CAGGGAGACAACAAAAUGUUUAAUAUUAUUAUUUUGUCACCUUAGGUCGAUCGGUAUCUCACAUUCUUAAUUCGUUAAGAAUUUUAUUUCCUAAGUUUUUCUAGGUCACACCCAUUAUUUUUCCUGGGCCAUUAGCUCAGGUGGUUAGAGCGCACCCCUGAUAAGGGUGAGGUCCCUGGUUCAAGUCCAGGAUGGCCCAUAUCUCUAUGUUGGGGGUAUAGCUCAGUUGGUAGAGCGCCUGCUUUGCAAGCAGGAUGUCAGCGGUUCGAGUCCGCUUACCUCCACUGAUUACCACCUCUUCCAUAAUCUGUAGAAAGGGAAAUUUUUUGAGUUGUGAUCAUUAUCCUGAACGAAUCUAGCUUCCUAAUGAAAUCAUUAAGAUGCUGGACUCAUUGAAUUAAUUUCAUUGUUUUCAGAGAACCUUGACAACUGCAUAGAUUAUUUUUAAAGACAAUAAGCAUCUUUAAUGAUGCAGAUUUAUUAUUUGUGCAAAUGCAUUAAUAACAAUUCUAUUAAGCUGAUGCUUCAAUUUUGAAGUUAUU
rnacentral:tRNA from 1 species